AACGAACGCUGGCGGCAUGCCUAACACAUGCAAGUCGAACGAGACCUUCGGGUCUAGUGGCGCACGGGUGCGUAACGCGUGGGAACCUGCCCUUAGGUUCGGAAUAACUCCCCGAAAGGGGUGCUAAUACCGGAUAAUGUCUUCGGACCAAAGAUUUAUCGCCUUUGGAUGGGCCCGCGUUGGAUUAGCUAGUUGGUAGGGUAAAAGCCUACCAAGGCGACGAUCCAUAGCUGGUCUGAGAGGAUGAUCAGCCACACUGGGACUGAGACACGGCCCAGACUCCUACGGGGGGCAGCAGUGGGGAAUAUUGGACAAUGGGCGAAAGCCUGAUCCAGCAAUGCCGCGUGAGUGAUGAAGGCCUUAGGGUUGUAAAGCUCUUUUACCCGGGAUGAUAAUGACAGUACCGGGAGAAUAAGCUCCGGCUAACUCUGUG
rnacentral:rRNA from 1 species